rnacentral:rRNA from 1 species
UACGUAGGGUGCGAGCGUUGUCCGGAAUUACUGGGCGUAAAGAGCUCGUAGGUGGUUUGUCGCGUUGUUCGUGAAAACUCACAACUCAAUUGUGGGCGUGCGGGCGAUACGGGCAGACUGGAGUACUGCAGGGGAGACUGGAAUUCCUGGUGUAGCGGUGGAAUGCGCAGAUAUCAGGAGGAACACCAGCGGCGAAGGCGGCGCUCUGGGCUGGAACUGACGCUGAGGAGCGAAAGCGUGGGGAGCGAACAGG